CCCUUAAACUGCUUCCGGUUUUUGUAACGUGGCCGAAACCGGAUCUUUCCUGGAAAAAAUGAAUUUCUGAAUUACAUCUCUUCGUCCAGUUGAUGUUGGUAAUACACCAAGUUUGUAAACCGCCAGUAAACGCUAUWGAAGAAGAAGAAGAUCUUCCGUGGAUCCGCUGUUACUCCGCUGUGCUUCCGGAAGCACAACAACGCUUCCAGCUGUUGUUGUACGGGCUUGAAGCGUUUAUGUGGCGGUAACUUUUACUUUCGGUAACGCAGUAAUGUUUUUAAAUGAAGACAUGAACAAAGGAGGCRGACGACGACUGGCUGGAUCCUUACGACAUGCUCAACUACGAUUCUAGCACCAAAACGAUGAAGAAACUUCCCGAGCCAACAACCUUUACCAAUGUGGUCACCAAAAGAAGAGAGUACGUCCAGGACCAGAACCAGGCUGAGCUGACAACCUGUAAUGAGCAGAUGGA